GAUGAACGCUAGCGGCAGGCUUAAUACAUGCAAGUCGUGGGGCAGCAGGGGUGUAGCAAUACAUCUGCUGGCGACCGGCAAACGGGUGCGUAACACGUACGCAACCUUCCCGUUACUGUGGCAUAGCCCAGGGAAACUUGGAUUAAUACCACAUAUUAUAUAGAGAGGGCAUCCUUUUUAUAUCAAAGCUUCGGCGGUAACGGAUGGGCGUGCGGUUGAUUAGGUAGUUGGCGGGGUAACGGCCCACCAAGCCUACGAUCAAUAGCUGAUGUGAGAGCAUGAUCAGCCACCCGGGCACUGAGACACGGGCCCGACUCCUACGGGAGGCAGCAGUAAGGAAUAUUGGGCAAUGGACGAAAGUCUGACCCAGCCAUGCCGCGUGAAGGAUUAAGGUCCUCUGGAUUGUAAACUUCUUUUCUCUGGGGCGAAAACCAGCUAUUCUUAGCUAUUUGACAGUACCAGAGGAAUAAGCACCGGCUAACUCCGUGCCAGCCGCCGCGGUAAAAC
rnacentral:rRNA from 1 species